rnacentral:lncRNA from 1 species
CAACCAACCCACUAAAACCAACCAACUAACCACCAACAACUAACUCAAACCUCGGGCUAAGCCCUUUUAUAAACAGGUAGGCUCCGCCUCUGGCUUUUCUAUUGGUCCAUCUAUUAACUCUUUCUCUCCCCCUGUACAGACAUUUUCAAACAAACGGGCAAACGCAAGUAAAGACAUGGCUGCAAAUGAAACAUUGGGAGACUCAAUGUGUGCUUCGGAUGGUUCCUUGGCAAGUGGGGCAGACUGCAAAUCCCCACUGGGACCAGCUACGCUCAGGGGAUCCUGGCCAGGAACUCCCAGGCUAAGCUGAUCCCUGCCAAAUGUCUAAUAAGCAGCCUUUUGGGGGAUAAUAAGCCCUAGAUAAAGAAGGUUGGUUGCCGAAAAAUUUAUGCUUUUGAAUUCUGGUGCUGGAGGAGACUCUUGAGAGUCCCAUGGAGUGCAAGACGAUCAAACUGAUCCAUUCUGCAGGAAAUCAGCCCUGAGUGCUCACUGGAAGGACAGAUCCUGAAGCUGAGGCUCCAAUACUUUGGCCACCUCAUGAGAAGAGAAGACUCCCUGGAAAAGACCCUGAUGUUGGGAAAGAUGGAGGGCACAAGGAGAAGGGGACGACAGAGGACAAGAUGGUUGGACAGUGUUCUUGAAGCUACCAGCAUGAGCUUGACCAAACUGCGGGAGGCAGUGGAAGACAGGAGUGCCUGGCGUGCUCUGGUCCAUGGGGUCAUGAAGAGUCGGACACGACUAAAUGACUAAACAACAACCACAACAAGCCCUACAGGAAUGGGGCAGCAAGACCAUCUGGAACUUAGGAAGCUGCCAUAAUGCACUAAUAUUUGUGGCUUGUAUAACGUAGGUGUGCAGAAAAUCUGGCACUCCCAACAUUGUGUAAAGGUAAUGUGACAGCCACUUGCUUCAUGCAUCCAAAGUUUCUUAUGGGUCAGCUCUCCAGGAUGAAGCACACCCAACAAGGGCCAAAGAGAGCAGCUUCAGGGCACUGUAUGAUGAUGUUGUUGUUGUUGUUUAGUCGUUUAGUUGUGUCCGACUCUUCGUGACCCCAUGGACCAGAGCACGCCAGGCACUUCUGUCUUCCACUGGCUCCCGCAGUUUGGUCAAACUCAUGCUGGUAGCUUCGAGAACACUGUCCAACCAUCUUGUCCUCUGUCGUCCUUCUCCUUGUGCCCUCAAUCUUUCCCAACAUCAGGGUCUUCUCUAGGGAGUCUUCUCUUCUCAUGAGGCGGCCAAAGUAUUGGAGCCUCAGCUUCAGGAUCUGUCCUUCCAGUGAGCACUCAGGGCUGAUUGCCUUCAGAAUCGAUAGGUUUGAUCUUCUUGCAGUCCAUGGGACUCUCAAGAGUCUCCUCCAGCACCAUAAUUCAAAAGCAUCAAUUCUUUGGCGAUCAGCCUUCUUUAUGGUCCAGCUCUCACUUCCAUACAUCACUACUGGGAAAACCAUAGCUUUAACUAUAAGGACCUUUGUUGGCAAGGUGAUGUCUCUGCUUUGGAAAACUAACUCUCCUUCUCAAAAUGCUGCAAUUUCUCCCUGCCAUACCCUUUGCCAUACCCAUCAGUCACCUAACCUAAGCAUUGGCAAUUGUAUUUUAUGAUACCGAACACUGCCAUGAAUUGCAGAUUCUGUAUGUCUGGAACUAAUUGUUAGGAGAGGAGGAAGGUUCAGCCAGUGGCAUUUAAGUGCAGGACUGAACGGAACGUCCAUUGUUCAACUGAUGAAGGGCUAGGGCUGUGGCAUGAAUUUUAAAGGGACUUCGCGAUAACUUCUACUCGCUGCGAUAAAUGCAUGCACUUGUGAUGCAGCCAGACGUGGGCGUAGCCAGGAUUUUUGUUGGGGAGGGCAGAACUGACAUGUCAGUAUUUCUUUUGUUUUACUUGAUCUGGGGGGAGGGCAGCUGUCCCUCCCCCCACUAUGCCCAUGCAGCCAGAUGUUUUCCACCUAACACACCCCCAAAUCAUACAGUCAGGACUAUCAAAAAGAAAUAAGAUUGAAAAAGAAAAGGGAAACAACAUUCUAUUAUUACUUCUUGUAAUUUUUGUUUUUAUUAUUAUUUAGAUUGCUUACUUGCCCUUCCCCAUAAGCUCCCAGGGUGGGUUGCAACAAUGGAUAUAGUAAAAUUAGUGAAAAGGACACAUUAGGAAUGCAUCUAGUGCAAUUUUAAGAUCAGUUAAAUAAAAUAAGAUACCCCAAGAAAGAGAAGGGAAAUAUCAAAUGAUUGCAACAGUACGCCCCAGGAAAAGGAAAACCCUCAGGGAGGAUGCAGUUGGUAAAGCAUCAGACUCUUAAUCUCAGCGUUGUGGGUUCGUGCCUGAUGUUGGGCGAAAGAUUUCUGCACUACAGGGGGUUUAGACUAGAUGACCCUCGUGGUCCCUUCCAAUUCUACAAUUCUAUGCUUCUAUGAACCCCCCUGUAUAACAGGAGCAAGGAAUCCCUUUUCCCCUAGGGCCCAGCUCCCUGAGGAAAGUGGCUGGGGUCACAUGACCAAAGUGGGUGGAGCCAAAGUCCAAAGUAUGCAGGCUUAUGACGCCCACCGCUAACUCCUUUUUUUUUUUUUAGCUGCUAACUACCCAUAACGCUUCUCCCUCUAAUGGUUCCUCGGUAGAGAAGGCAAAGGGGUCAAUUUUAAGCUGUUCAAGAAAGCCACAUGAAAUAUACUCAGAGUUGAGAGUGGAUGUCAUGCUUUUUAUUCAGCUCAUAGUGGUGAGGAGGAAUGGAAGUUCCCCCAGAAUGUCUGCUUUAUAUACAUUAUUUACACAAUGGGCCCCACGUGAUUGGCUAAUUCUGGGAUUCUCCUGUAGGCCAAUCAGGUUGCGGAUUCACUUCCACCUGGAGCUAGAUUGGGUGGCUCCUGUGGACCAAUCAGACCGCUGCAUUCUUAAUCCUAUUGUUCUAGGACCAAUCAGACUGCUGCAUUCUGAAUCCUAUUGUUCUAGAACCAAUCAGACUGCUGCAUUUUGGAUCCUAUUCAGCUCAGUACAUAACACCACAGUAGUUUCCUUCAAACUUCAAAGACUUUAAUUUCCCCAUAGCUUUGCUCAGCGGGCAGGACUCUGGCAGCGAUUAUUAGGCUGAGGGAUGUAAAGACUUGGUCAAACUCUGGGGACUCUGCUAGAUGAACAUCUGCCCUUCCUGGGAGUUCUCCCAGAUCCAACAGAGCCAAACUCCGCUUGUGUCGGCCAGAGCUUGCAUUCUGCCCUAUUAUUUGGAGCCUGAACCAUCUCACUGGCCAGAUUCCAGCUGAAGGUCAGUGAAUAUAUGCCAGUUCCGGCUUAACAUGCUGCAGGCCCAUAGCCUGGUUGGAACAGGACAGUAUCCUGGCAACUGAGAGUGACAGCAGCCUGCAAAAUUCAGUUUGCCAGCCCUGUGUGUCAAGAUGGGCACCUGCGCACAUCUGACCAAUCGGAUCUUAUGAAUGUAGGUAUUUUAGGGAUGCAAUGAUAAAUAGUAAAAUAUAACAUCAGUCGUAUACCCAGGACUGGAAACCAGAGCUCCCAUUUCCAAAAAGUCACUUUGGAGGGACUCUUUGGCUUAAUUGCGAACAGGUAUAGUAGAUGCGCUAACCUAAGUCUAAAUUUGUUAUUGACCUAACCAGACACACGGUUUGUAAAUUUUUUUUUAUUUUAAUUUACAAGCGUAGAGUUAUAAGAAUACCAAAUAAAUAACCAGAUUUUGAGAUUUCUCUGAAUCUCCAGACUUCCCCCAUCUCCUCCAUGGAUCUUAUUGUCAGCAUUUUCAACUGCAUAUUGUUUCAUAAUCCCAUGUUUUGUAUCUAUCCAUAUUGUCCAUAGUGAUUGUUACAGUGUUAUUAAAUAUUGCUAAUGUUUUCAUCUGCUUACAGUGGUCUCCUAAAUAAAUUAUAUUUUUUUCCAAUUCUUUCUUAAAGUUUUUGUCUUCUUGGCUCCUGAGCUUUCUGGUCGGUUUUGCCAUUUUGACAUAGUCUAUCAGCUUGGUUUGCCAUUCCUCUCUGGUGGGGACCAGAAACAUGGUUUGCAUUGUCAAACUGAAUUCUUCUGGUGUGGCUGGAUGCAUUUUCUCCAAUCUGUAAUUCUUGAAGUUGUUUGUUUGCUUUGUAGAAUAAAUAAUAAAUAAUAUAUAAUAAAUAAUGGCUUUUUUUCAGCAGUUCUGGCACUUCUCAAGUGGGUACCAUUGCCAUUAUAAGAGAAUGAGGGAGGUGUUCAUGGUGAGUUCAGCCACCUGUUUUUCUAGAAAAAUAGCACUAAUAAUAAUAAUAUUUUUUAUAGUGUGAACUCACUGUGUGCCCCGCCACACCGAUUCCUGUUUACCUCCCUCAUUAUUUACUCCAAACUUCAAAUUAUCACAGUGCUUUCUGGACAUUCUCUGAAGGUGUCACAAUAAAUUAGGUUGCCUUCUGCUAUUGCUGUCCCCAAGCUCUGGACCUGAUCAGUCCAUGCCAACAUAUUGGCCUGCUAUCUAUGAAUGCUGUGAAGUAAACUGAAUAGAGCAAGGAGGGAGGAAAAUCCUUUUUAAUAGAUCUGUAUCCCUUGCCAAUGGUGAUGUCAAUAUCCUUUUAUGUUAACCAUUUUGGCAAAAACUCCCAUCCGAGACUCUAGGGGAAAUGGAAAUAAACCAAGCCGGUGCCUUGAAGCAUAAUUUCUCUGCCCUACCUUCAGUUAGAGUUGGGGGAGAAAUUCAAUUCAGUUUGCAUUUAAAGGUGAACCUACCUAAUUCACACUUUCCAAAACAAUACAGAAAUUGAAAUGCUGCCAUCCUUCAAAAUUCGCAAUGCAGUUCUGCAGCCAAGCAAUGUGUGCAAAAACCCAUACACUUGGGUUGGGUCCAAGUGUGCAUGGAAAUGCAUUUAAUUGUGAAAGUAACAUAUACACAAAUUCAUUAUUUGCUUUGUGCCAAUAUGUAUACAGUGGUACCUUGGGUUAAGAACUUAAUUCGUUCUGGAGGUCCGUUCUUAACCUGAAACUGUUCUUAACCUGAGGUGCCACUUUAGCUAAUGGGGCCUACCACUGCUGCCGUGCUGUUGUCGUGCGAUUUCUGUUCUCAUCCUGAAGCAAAGUUCUUAACCUGAGGCACUAUUUCUGGGUUAGCAGAGUCUGUAACGUGAAGCGUCUGUAAGCUGAAGCGUCUGUAACCCGAGGUACCACUGUAUUCGGCAAAACUGCAUUCAGAAGUAUGUCUGUUAGGAGAAAUUCACACUAAAAUGCUGAUGAGUUUUAAUGAGGCCUCUUUAAAAACAACAACACUCAAACCAAUGAAGAAAUGCGGAGAACUAUGAUUGGAAAAAUGAGAAACUGCAAGAUUCCAAAAUUGUUAAGAUUUACUAAUCCUUACCUCUAGUGCAUGCAUAUUAUAGUAUGUUGAGUCAAGACUACUGUUUUGUUGAGCCUUUGGUCUGGAUUACAUAGACAUUGUUUGUGUUUUGUUUUGUUUUGUUUUGUUUUGUUUUGUUUUGUUUUUAAAUCUAUCCCACCUUUCCAAAAAAAAGCCCAGAGUUUCCUUCUCUUUGGUGCUUUGAUCAUUCUGCUUGUGCUGCUGACUGAACUUAAUCCGCUGCUCCAAUUUCUGUUGCUUAUUUAGUUGUCCCGCUGUUGUGUUCUCCUGUGUAUAUAAUUUUCUCCUUCAGCUGCAUUAUUUGGGUGUGUUUCACCCAAAUCCCCUAGGGUUGCAAUAGGAAGGAAAGCCCUUGACUGUGUUUGCAAAUGCACCUCUUCUUGUUCUGGCACAGUGCCACUGCGCUGAGGUUCUUAGCGGUCAGGAAACAGGAAAAAAGAGCACUUAUUCCUGCUUCCUAAGCACUAAGAUCUCAGGUGAAAUAGCAGUGCACCUGAAGGAGAAGAGGCAUGUCUCCAACGUAAGUCGAAGGCAAGAGAAAGAGGUGCCUAAUAUCAGGAGGGCUGGCAGGUCACCUGAAGUGGUUUUGCAGGCCAGACGUGGCCCGAGGUUCCAUAGGAUCGCUAGCCCUGAAGUGAGUCAUGGGCAACUCACCACUGUCAGGAGCAAUUCCCCAAUGCCUUCUACACGCACUGCUUCAGGAAGAUUUGGGGUGUCACAAGGCAGUGUGUUCUCCCAAGCCCACAUUCCCAGCAUGUUCGCACUCCUGUCUCAGCGACUUCUACACUUACUUGGUCCUGUCCACAGAAUGGAAGGCCAGAAGGAUGUGCUCUUCGGAGAGCUGGCUUCACGCACCAGGCCCAUUGGCAGACCAACUCUGCAUUACAAAGAUGUCUGCGAGCGUGACAAGAAGGCUGGCAACACCGACCCCGCCAUGUGGGAAUCUCUUGCAGGUGACAGCAGUGCCUGGAGGCAGACAGUCAAACUCUGUAUCCACAGCAGUGACCAGAAGAGACAUGACCACUGGGAGGAGCGGAGAGAGACGAAACCCAUCUGCAGCAGCACAACUGGACAGAUUGUGGAAGAGACCUACACUAUGGAGGAUGGCCAAGGCACAGUCUGACCCACUCCUUUGGUAGUUCUCACAGAACUCUAGCCCAAUGGCUGCCAUUAAUUUGAUUCUGAAUUGAUUUUAGAAUGAAUUGAUUUUAGAAUGCAUUUCAAUUAAUUGCUUGUGAUUUUAUGUAAAUUGUGUUACUUCUAUUGUUGUUAGUCGCUCUGAGCCCGGCUGGGGAGGGCGGGAUAUAAAUAAAAAAAUAUUAUUAUUAUUGUUGUUGUUGUUGUUGUUGUUGUUGUCAAAAGAAGCAGACAAUGCAAAGGAGCUCUGCCAGAGAUCCUGGGGAGCUGUGGCCAGUCAGAAUAAACAAUCCUGGACUAGCCUUUUACUUUCUCAACCAUGCCCGCCCUUCCUCUCUAGGAGACCGAGACGCAAAUGAAAAUCCGACUCCUGGGCUUUACCAGUUCUGUUGAAGGGGCAACUGUACCCCAGCCACAAUCAAAACUACUCCAGGACUUCAAAGAUGGGUGUGACACUGCUCUGGUCUUCAGCUGGUGGGAUGCUGUUCUAUAGAGAUUGUUGUUCCCAAGGUAAGAAACCUGUGGCUCUGUUUUUAAUCCUAUUCCUUGUAGUUUUACCAUGUCAUGGGAAAUCCAUCUCCAUGCCCAGGCUAAAUACAUACAGAUGGCUCAGUUGCUGUGUAGGCAUGGAUAGGAUUACGAUGCACUGCAAAAUCGGGAAACCAGUGAGAAGACUGUAUUGAGAGUAAUAAGAAACAUAGUUCAUCAUUAUUAGGAGAAGCAGUGGUGAAUGUUAGGCUAACAUGUUCCCCUCUCAAUUUUGCUUCAUGUGUGAAGGGAAGAGAGUAGCCCAGGUUGAGAGAGCUCCUACUUCAUGGAAAACCACUGUUUCCCAUUCUCAACAAAUGAGGGUUUGUGCAAUCCAUAGUUUGCUCUCAAACCUGGAUCCCAAACCAUAUAUGAAGGAAGUGGGGGUGGGGAGCCCAGGCCUCACCACUGUUCAUUCUUGCAGUGGUAAACGAUGGUUUGCCAAAACAUCUGACUGCACUGAAUGCCAAAAUGUUCUGAAGCCCAUGAUAUAAUGGAACCACAGAUAUUAAAACACAUUCAUAAAAAACACCAAUGGUGCUUAUCACGCUGACCAACUGAGAGAGCAGUGCACUACAGAAGUGAGUGCCAAUUUUGGUUCAGCAAACAGAUUUUCGAAGAAAACCCGCUCCUUGGGGCUAAUAUAAUGGAACUGAUUCUGUCCUGUGGGCUUUUGCACAUGGCUAAUAGUAACACGUAGCUUAAUCUGCUUGUGUUUGCUGUGGGAAACUCAGUCUAACAAGCUCUGUUUUGUCAUAUUAAAAAUAAACCGAUGAAACAAUUUGUCAAACCCCUAAGGCAAAAUGUUCAUGAAACCACUAAGGAUUUCGGAGAACUUCUUUUGAUCAAAUGACCUUUUGCUGGCAAUUAAUCCUAAAGUAAAUAAAAUGGUGGUAGAGUUAGAGAGCCCAAGUGAUCAGCCAGUGCAGAGAGCUGCUUUUUAAUUAUUAUUUUUUGCACAGAUCAGGGAACAUAACCCAUCUGUGACCUUUAAAAUGACUCUUAAGCAGAUCUUGCCUGUCGUUCCAAAUUGUGCGGCCAGCUGGUGAUGUGGAUGUGAUGUUCACAAGGGACCAGGAGCAGACCAUCAAAAUUGACAUCAGCCCUCUUAACAGGAAUAGCUCCAUCUUCAUCUUCCAGGAACUUGAGAGGACUAAGUUACGUGCAAGGCAAGUUAUAUUACCAAAUCCAAACAAAAGAAAUAAAUGGAUAGCAUUUACUAACCAGUCAUUUCCCUAAGUUCACUGCAUUUCAACAUCAGUUUAUGAUUCAGCAACCCCCCCCCAAGUCCUCAUGAAACUUCCUCAAUAUUUGUGCGAAUUUAUCCCUCUAUCACUGGUGGUGCUGUGGGAUAAACCACAGAGCCUGGGACUUGCCGAUCAGAAGGUCGGUGGUUCGAAUACCCGCGACGGGGUGAGCUCCCGUUGCUCGGUCCCUGCUCCUGCCAACCUAGCAGUUCAAAAGCACGUCAAAAAUGCAAGUAGAUAAAUAGGUACCACUCCAGUGGGAAGGUAAAUGGCAUUUCCGUGCACUGCUCUGGUUCACCAGAAGUGGCUUAGUCAUGCUGGCCACAUGACCCGGAAGCUGUACACCAGCUCCCUCGGCCAAUAAAGCGAGAUGAGCGCCACAACCCCACUGUCGUCCGCGACUGGACCUAAUGGUCAGGGGUCCCUUUACCUUUACCUUAUCCCUCUAUAGACAUUUUGUACACAACUUUUGCCUUGUAUACUCAUCUCUGCAAAGCAAUGCUCCCUAAUAGCAUGUAUUUCUGAAUGUUAUUUUCAGUAAUACAUCCAUAUUAAUAUGCUGUAUGAAAUGUCGAGGUUUUACAUGAAUCCCACCCUUAUGGUACAAUGUAUUUCUGUACAUGCUUCUUCUUUUUUAAUGUAAGUCAUUAGUCUCUUAGAUCUAAUGUAAGUCUUUAAGAUCUCAACGAUGAAUAAACUGAAUUAAUACUGAUUUGUUUAUUUAUUACAUUUGUAUAUAGCCCUUCAUCCAUAGGUCUCAGGGUGGUUCACGACAUAAAAGUACAAGAACACAAAGUACAUAAUGAG